rnacentral:rRNA from 1 species
GAUGAACGCUGGCGGCGUGCCUAAUACAUGCAAGUCGAGCGAACGGACGAGAAGCUUGCUUCUCUGAUGUUAGCGGCGGACGGGUGAGUAACACGUGGAUAAACUACCUAUAAGACUGGGAUAACUUCGGGAAACCGGAGCCAAUACCGGAUAAUAUUUUGAACCGCAUGGUUCAAAAGUGAAAGACGGUCUUGCUGUCACUUAUAGAUGGAUCCGCGCUGCAUUAGCUAGUUGGUAAGGUAACGGCUUACCAAGGCAACGAUGCAUAGCCGACCUGAGAGGGUGAUCGGCCACACUGGAACUGAGACACGGUCCAGACUCCUACGGGAGGCAGCAGUAGGGAAUCUUCCGCAAUGGGCGAAAGCCUGACGGAGCAACGCCGCGUGAGUGAUGAAGGUCUUCGGAUCGUAAAACUCUGUUAUUAGGGAAGAACAUAUGUGUAAGUAACUGUGCACAUCUUGACGGUACCUAAUCAGAAAGCCACGGCUAACUACGUG